UUUACAUAUAGUGAAAAAUCCUUUUGAAUAAACGUCACGAAGUAUUUGGUUAAUUCUUUAGGAUUUGAAAUUAUAUAUGUGUGUUAGUGAAAGAAUAAAUUUAAAGCAUGUGACUUCUUCCUUUUAUUUUUUUAUUCUUUUAGUUUUUUUUAAUUAUAAGAUGACAAAAAAAUGUUGACGUGGCAGCUGAGUCACUUAAGUGACUUGCCAUAUCAACUUUGACUCGAUCANNNNNNNNNNNNNNAAAUUGACCUUUUGCAAAAGGGGCAAAGAUAGGGGCCAAAAGUGCUAUUUUGAAACAUAGGUGGCCAAAAUCGCAACUACUGAAACUUAGGGGGCCAAAAUUGCUAUUUUGAAACAUAGGGGGCCAAAUCGCAACUUUUUGAAACUUAGGGGGUUAGAAGUGCUAUUUUGAAACAUAAGAGGCCAAAAUUGCAAGUUUCUGAAACUUAGGGGGCCAAAAGUGCAAUUUAGCCUAAAAUUUAUAACAAUCUCAAAAUAAUAGUCAUAUAUACUAAAUAAAUCAUACAUGAGACAAAUUAUGCUACUGUUUCAACCCACUUGAGUUGGUCUGGUGGUAUUGGCUUGUGACAUGGGAGUGUGCUCCUCCUUAAGGUCUUAGGUUUGAUUCUCUCUAAUGCCAAUUUCGAUGGGCUAAUUUAACUUCUUUAAAAAAAAAUAAUUAUGCAACUAAUUCAUCAAACUCAUAACAAUCUUAAAAUAACUAUCAUAUACUAGCGGGCCAGGCAGACGCGUUGCGCACCUGCUUGUGUCUAACUUAUGUCCAAAAAAAUAUGUCUUAUGUUAUGGUAAGUUUAUUAAUAAAAGAUGUUUGCUGCUAAAAAAAAGAUGUGUCUUAUAUUAUGGUGAGUUUGUUAAUAAAAGAUUUUUGUUGCUACUAAAAAAAAUUAAAGAUAUUGUUGGUAUUAUGAAAAGUCCAUGUAUUCUCCUUACAUAUAGUAUAAAUACUAAAUAAACGAUACAUGAGACAAAUUAUGUUACUUAUUCAUAUAACUGAUUAAAUAAAUC
rnacentral:lncRNA from 1 species